AUUGAACGCUGGCGGCAUGCUUUACACAUGCAAGUCGAACGGUAACAGGUUAAGCUGACGAGUGGCGAACGGGUGAGUAAUGCAUCGGAACGUGCCCGAUCGUGGGGGAUAACGCAGCGAAAGCUGCGCUAAUACCGCAUACGAUCUGAGGAUGAAAGCGGGGGACCGUAAGGCCUCGCGCGAUCGGAGCGGCCGAUGUCAGAUUAGGUAGUUGGUGGGGUAAAGGCCCACCAAGCCGACGGUCUGUAGCUGGUCUGAGAGGACGACCAGCCUCACUGGGACUGAGACACGGCCCAGACUCCUACGGGAGGCAGCAGUGGGGAAUUUUGGACAAUGGGCGAAAGCCUGAUCCAGCAAUGCCGCGUGCAGGAAGAAGGCCUUCGGGUUGUAAACUGCUUUUGUACGGAGCGAAAAGGUCCUUUCUAAUACAAGGGGCUCAUGACGGUACCGUAAGAAUAAGCACCGGCUAACUACGUGCCAGCCGCCGCCGUAACAC
rnacentral:rRNA from 1 species